rnacentral:rRNA from 1 species
CRGUGCGGCAKCUUAMCAUGCAGUCGAACGAUGAUCCCGGUGCUUGCACCGGGUGAUUAGUGGCGAACGGGUGAGUAACACGUGAGUAACCUGCCCCCGACUCUGGGAUAAGCCCGGGAAACUGGGUCUAAUACCGGAUAUUCACUUCCUUCCGCAUGGGAGGUGGUGGAAAGAUUUAUCGGUGGGGGAUGGACUCGCGGCCUAUCAGCUUGUUGGUGGGGUAAUGGCCCACCAAGGCGACGACGGGUAGCCGGCCUGAGAGGGUGACCGGCCACACUGGGACUGAGACACGGCCCAGACUCCUACGGGAGGCAGCAGUGGGGAAUAUUGCACAAUGGGCGAAAGCCUGAUGCAGCGACGCCGCGUGAGGGAUGACGGCCUUCGGGUUGUAAACCUCUUUCAGUAGGGAAGAAGCGAAAGUGACGGUACCUGCAGAAGAAGCGCCGGCUAACUACGUGCCAGCAGCCGCGGUAAUACGUAGGGCGCAAGCGUUAUCCGGAAUUAUUGGGCGUAAAGAGCUCGUAGGCGGUUUGUCGCGUCUGCCGUGAAAGUCCGGGGCUCAACCCCGGAUCUGCGGUGGGUACGGGCAGACUAGAGUGAUGUAGGGGAGACUGGAAUUCCUGGUGUAGCGGUGAAAUGCGCAGAUAUCAGGAGGAACACCGAUGGCGAAGGCAGGUCUCUGGGCAUUAACUGACGCUGAGGAGCGAAAGCAUGGGGAGCGAACAGGAUUAGAUACCCUGGUAGUCCAUGCCGUAAACGUUGGGCACUAGAUGUGGGGGACAUUCCACGUUUUCCGCGUCGUAGCUAACGCAUUAAGUGCCCCGCCUGGGGAGUACGGCCGCAAGGCUAAAACUCAAAGGAAUUGACGGGGGCCCGCACAAGCGGCGGAGCAUGCGGAUUAAUUCGAUGCAACGCGAAGAACCUUACCAAGGCUUGACAUGGGCCGGAUCGCCGCAGAAAUGUGGUUUCCCCUUUGGGGCCGGUUCACAGUGGUGCAUGGUUGUCGUCAGCUCGUGUCGUGAGAUGUUGGGGUUAAGUCCCGCAACGAGCGCACCCUCGUUCAUGGUUGGCCAGCACGUAGUUGUUGGGGACUCAUGGGAGACUGCCUGGAUYCACUCGAGAGGUGGGACGACGUCUAUCAUCAUGCCCCCUAUGUUCUUGGGGACUU